CUUGUCUGCAGUCUGCUAACAGUGACUGGAAACAUCAGCACCGUGAAAGUGGAUCACACAAUGAUAGGGGAUGCAAUGCCUACCUGAGACUUGAUCUGCUCACAUCUUUCUUUGAUGUUCUUCACUCUGCGUCAGGGAUCAGAGUCUCAACAGACAUGUCAUUGGUAUGAAUGAUUUGCAGCAACAGGAUUGGCUACAAGCAUUGUCUUUUGUGAGAGAUCGAAAGUAAAAUUGACCUGGGAUAAGUGACUGGACUGGGAGCAACCUGAAUAUUUUGAGAUCUUUGGUAUAGCAACCGACUAGCACUAAGUGCAGCUUGCCUAGGUGGCAAGAUAGUUCCCUUGGACAUUCCAGUGUUUCUGUCUCCAUGACAUUCAUCUGUCUUCACAACAUCUUUGAAACCUUGUUUACAAGGAAGACAGGUUGCACCAAAGCAAAUAAGACUGGAGCUGUUGAC